AGCCUUCUGAAUCCGCAUAGAGAUUUCAUCAGACACCAGACCAUCUAGACUGAUGAGACUCAAGAUAAAUGGAGCG
rfam:Schistosoma haematobium scaffold244_2, whole genome shotgun sequence.